UACGAAGGGGGCUAGCGUUGCUCGGAAUUACUGGGCGUAAAGGGCGCGUAGGCGGAUAUCUAAGUUGGGGGUGAAAGCCCGGGGCUCAACCUCGGAAUUGCCUUCAAUACUGGAUAUCUUGAGUACGGGAGAGGUGAGUGGAACUCCGAGUGUAGAGGUGAAAUUCGUAGAUAUUCGGAAGAACACCAGUGGCGAAGGCGACUCACUGGCCCGUUACUGACGCUGAGGCGCGAAAGCGUGGGGAGCAAACAGG
rnacentral:rRNA from 1 species